rnacentral:rRNA from 1 species
GGGAACUGAGAACACGGCCCAGACUCCUACGGGAGGCAGCAGUGGGGAAAUAUUGCGCAAUGGGCGGAAAGCCUGACGCAGCGACGCCGCGUGGGGGAUGACGGCCUUCGGGUUGUAAACCUCUUUCGCCAGGGACGAAGAGCGAUUGACGGUACCUGGAGAAGAAGCACCGGCCAACUACGUGCCAGCAGCCGCGGUAACACGUAGGGUGCGAGCGUUGUCCGGAAUUAUUGGGCGUAAAGAGCUCGUAGGCGGUGUGUCGCGUCGGCCGUGAAAACUUGGGGCUUAACUCUGAGCGUGCGGUCGAUACGGGCAUCACUUGAGUUCGGCAGGGGAGACUGGAAUUCCUGGUGUAGCGGUGAAAUGCGCAGAUAUCAGGAGGAACACCGGUGGCGAAGGCGGGUCUCUGGGCCGAUACUGACGCUGAGGAGCGAAAGCGUGGGGAGCGAACAGGAUUAGAUACCCUGGUAGUCCACGCCGUAAACGUUGGGCG